CGACAAACUAUAUUAACAUAACACGAAGUUCAUCCUUCAAUAGGUUCCAUCAAAACCCUAGACUAAAUAUUUAGCUACUCGUAGCAAAGCAAGAUAAAACCACAAAAGUAUUUAUAAUGUGCAAAUAAAUAUAACAAAGAGAAGAUUGAAAAACUCUAAUGGUUGAUAUCUCUUCUCACACUUGUUCUUGCCUCCAAUUCAGUCUAAAAACCUUGAUAAUGUCCCUUUGGGCGAGUUGGACCUCUUAUAGGUUAAGUGGAAUUACCCCCGAACUUCCAAGUUUACCCCUGAAUUAUAUUUUUCCGAACUGGACUAGCGCGGUCGCGCUAGUGGGCGCGCUACUGACCGCGCAUAUGGCAUAGUAUUCUGCCUCGAACUCCUGGGCUAGCACGAUCGCGCUAGUGGACCAUCAUUUCAGCUCUUCUUUUCUCUCCUCUUUCAACGUACUCAGCUCCGAGGGGCUUUCCUUGCUUCAAUUUAGCUCCAAAUACAGUCAUAAGUCCUCGUACGCGCAACUCGCUCCUGCAAAACAUAAAAUUCACAAUUAGAGCCAAUUUAUCAUCAUUUAACUAUCCUACAACAGUGAAACAUCGUCAAGCUGGGACAUAAACAGUCGCCAAAUUACAUGAAUCUAGCCUAUUAUCAAGAGGCAAACCCAAGAUCUGAAAGUAAUAUGGGUACCAAUAUCAAAAAGAUUGAGCAAAUGCUAAAAAUUGAACUAGCGUACUAAAAGUCAAGUUGUGCCCCCCUCCCUCCAAAUCGAUCAAUGCAGUUGCCUAAGCGACUUUUAAUGCCUCCCUCCUCCAAAUCGAUCAAUGCAACUGCCUAAGCUUUAAGUGUUAUGGUAUCAAUAAAAUUAUAUUCCUGUCAUUUAAGAUAUAUACAUAUAUUUUUUUCGAAACUAUCGGGCCGAUGAUCUCCUACCCUAAGGGUAGGUCGGCUUCUGCAUUAGCGGAUAAAUUUGUAGCAUAUUUAAACAUGAGUUGGCAUGUAAAAGAAGACUAUUAUUCAGCUGAAGAUUUAUUUCAGUCCUUAUCAAUUAUCAUGCUGAGGGUCAAAGGACCCUUCACAUUGAGCAUCAACCAUAUGAACAGACUCCAUAAUUAUUUAUAUCUGAAAUUCUCACUGUCAGACAGACGGAUUUAAUUAUAUGUCUGUAGGUUCCACAGAACUUGGUGUCAAGAUCAAAUUUUAUAUAUGUGUGACAAAUAAGUUUUGAUACAGUUAAAUAUACAUUUCAUAAUCUAUUCUCUUAACUUAAUUAGAAAUUAGAACAACAUUCAAAUUUGGAAUCUAGCAGGGGUGAAUAAUCCAUUUCUAGCUUAUGCGUCAGUUCAUUUGUUUGUUUGUGGCACGAUUAUCUUGAGAUGUCAUGCUUGAUCAAGACAGGAAUGGAGUUUUCUUAUGGAAAAUGAUAAAUAUAUAAUAUCAGCCGUCGACAUACUUUAGCAAGAAAUUAAUUAGAAGAAUGGAUUUCUUUUAGUAUCUUCACUACUUAUUCAUUCAAGAUAUUCAUUUAAGUUUGUCGGUACAAUAAGUAUAAAUGAGAAAGUUUAGGUGGCUGGCCUUUUAGUUGAAGAAAAUAGUCGCAUCAACAUCGACCUGUCCAGGAGAAGAUUUCUGGAAUCAUUUUACUGUCAUCUUUGUCCGAGAAGAAAUUGCAAAUGUGUCUCUCUCAUUACAUUUUGGAAUAUGCAGGAAACCACACUUUUUUUUUUUUUUUAAUAAACGCCAAAGAAGAUCAUUUAAUUAGACUAUAAAGAUUAUAAAACAAUAAAAUUCUUGUUAUUUGUUUGUUUUAAUCAAUUUUUUACUGUUUGAUUUGUAUAACUUUAAAGUUUCAUUUAUUUGACCCCUUGCGCCCAGAGGUGCAUUUGAAAAGUCAAGAGCCAAGAGGGACCCUUAUGUACGGUAGUAUUAGUACUAUUUAGCCGGUGGUUACCCAUCCCAAUCACAGGAGAAUUUUCUAUAUCACCAUUGGCCAUAGCAUUAAAAAUCAGCAAUUUUGUAUGUGGAGUUUUAAUUUUUAUUUCUUUUAUUGGUGGUGUCUGAUCGAGCGCAUGUAUGUAUCCUCAGAAAAUUUUGUUUAGACUUAGCCGGAUGAGAAAGAUUUACCUAACUAUAUUUUUGUUCCUCUACUAAAGUUCGAACUUUGGUAUCUCGUGGUAUUCCAACUUAAAGCAGUUUCUCUUUAGUUGUUGGACAUACUUGGACAACGCAAAAUGAAAUGGAUACUCCAUUUCUAACAAAAGAGGAGAUGUAAUAAAUAUCUUCAACAUUUUGGUUUCAGAAUUAGUAUUUAAGACUCGUUCUGUUUUAAAUUAUAUAAAUAUUGUUGUAUUUAUAAAAUAGAAAUAUAAGAUAUGAAUUCCACGAUAAAAUUGAGAACCCAUAAGUUUCACCCUUUGAGUGGAACUGGGGAAGAAUAUAUAUAAGUAGAGCUACAUUGGACAACUGUCCACAUUUAGUUUAAAGCAUAAUGAUAUAUUAAUUCUUCACAAUGAUGCUUCUCAUUUUCUUGCUCUUUAUCAAAUGUGUUACUCCACUUUCUGUCCUCUUUAUGUUGUUUCCUGUUUUAUUUUGCAAUGGAACGUAACUACAAAGUUAAGGAAAGAGAAGGUUUUAGUAGUUUAAAGCAAACGCCGGAAAAGAUAGUAAUAAGCGAAUUUAAGGAUAUAAAAUUAAACUGAAUUUAACUGGAUCCAUUUCGAUUCAAUUAUCAUUGUUUAUUAUUUAUAAACUAAAAACAUGAUUAACCAAAAUAGAUCGAAUCAACUUAAUAUUUUUUUAAUAAUUAAGUAAACAAGCUUUCUUAAAAGUUUAAACUUUUAAAACAGAUUAGAAAAUCAACAUGUGUUUCAAAGAAGUAUUCAUCUCUAAAUUUAGGAAACUUUACUUUUUGGAAUUCUCUAGAUUUGUGUUGAAGGAGAGCUACUUUGAUACUAUAAUUAUAUAAUCUUGUUUUGAAGAAAAGGUCAAAUUCUAGUCUUGUGAGUCAAAUUUGAUAAAAGAAUUGUUGUUUGGGUUGUUAAUUUGCUCCAAGGACCCUUACAGCAAAAUCCAGUUUCAGUUUGCUCCUAAAUGUUUUCCUUUUAACAUACUUACUAACUAAUAUUUAUAUAUUUUAAAUAUACAACAUGUCACACCUCCUUUUUACACACCUACCCCGGAGGAUAAUGUAUAAGAGAGUUUUUCCAUUUAAAGUGACAUUAUUCUGAGCGGGAUUAUUUAUUUAUUUAGAGUCGCCACUUGGGAAAUGUUUGACUUUUGGUGUCCCAAGUCACCGGUUUAUCUUGAAUCCCGAACCGAGGAAAAUUGUCGACUUCCAAUUGGAGUCUGUGAACCAGAAAUUCUAAGCAAGGAAUUCUGUUGACCCGAGGGAAGGUGUUAGGCACCCCCGGAUCCCGUGGUUCUAGCACGAUCGCUUAAAUUGUUGUAAAUGGUUAAGAGUCCGAUUUUAAUACAUGCCAACUUUAUGUGCUUUUAUUAACUUUAAACCGCAGUUAUCACUAUUUUUUAAAAGAAUUGCAACGUCGUGAAAACGCGUCUCGAACCACGUCACAUCAAUGCACCCGUGGUUAUUGACACAUUUCGACAUCCGUUGAGAUUUGGAUUUGGGUCACAUAAAUGUGCACCCGAGUUUAGGAAUGUAAUUUGAUUAAAAUCGCGCUUAAAGAGUCUAACGCGUUAUUGUCUUUGGGGAAGGCCGUGAAAUUCACUAAACGGCCUAUCCCGAAUUCUAUUUAUCUAUUAUAACCAAUUACCGAGGGCCCCGCAAUUUAUUUAUUUUGUUCGGCGAGGCUCGUCUCAUGGCUUAUUUAAAGGUACACUCUAAAGUAAAUUAUGAUUUUUCUAAAUUAUUUGUCUCUAAUAAAAUAAAAAUCCUAAUUAAUCAUUAUUAUUUAGGAGUUACUUCAUUUCCAAAUAAGGAUUAAAAUUAAGUCCAUGACUUCAUUGAAGCUUCAACAUUUGGGCUUUAAUACCGGCCCUAUGCCAUUUUGCUUGUGGUUGCGUAGAGAGAAAAUAAACCCAGACGUGGGCCAUGAACGGAAACAUGCCCAAAUUUAUUGUAUUGGUGGCUUGCCCAGUUCAGCUUAUUACAUGAGCAACUACUUUGUUUUUGUUUGUUUCAUUUCAAUUAACCAAUUGAAUCUACCUCAUGCAUUUUUAAUAGUGACAAUGUGAAGCAGAAUCCAUUGACAGAAACCAGAUAUACUNNNNNNNNNNNNNNNNNNNNNNNNNAAAAAAGUUCUAACUAAACCUGUUUAUAGCUAAUUUCAUGAAGAUCAUAAGGCGACACUGAAUCCAAACCGGCUAAGAGAUUCACAUGCUCAUUUGUGACUUGUUUUUAGCUAAUGCUCAAAUUAGCACAUAAGUAUUUAUUCAUAUUUAUAGUAGAGCAUACUUCUAAAUUGCUUGCAAACUCAACCACAUUCUGAUUCCAUAUGCUUACCCAGUAUUACCAUGAAAACCAAACAUUAGACCACGCUGUGUCCACGAAUAACAAACAUCAAUUAACAGCCCUAAGAGAUCUGAUUUGAGUACAAAUUUCAACAGUCCAUAGCAGGAGAAGUAAUCUUAAUCAGACAGUCCUAAUUGAUAUACACAUUAUAAAAUUUCACAUGAACAUAAAUAUGAAACUGUAUGCAAACUGAAACAAAUAAACAACUGGCACUUCAAUUUCUUUUCAAUUGGCUAUAUUAAGCUUGAGAUCACAAACGUCAUUCAUAGUCGAGCCAAGUACCUGGGAAUUAGAAUGCAACAGGAAGAGGAGAAGUUAGCAGCAGCAGCAACGAUUGAGAAUGUCCAGCAACAACACAACAAUUUUAACCCAGAAAGCAGACCAGUAGUCCAAAUAUCAAAUAGGACAGAGGGAUUGACCAAAACAGCACCACAACAAACCAGUAAACUCAAAAGGCAUCCAGAAAUACUCAGCAAACACCAAACUCAAACAAAACCCACUUUACUUAAACCAGAACUGCUCAAUACUAAACCAGCACGAUCCAGAAACUCCAAUAAUCAAACGAGAAGAAAAUCGAACAAAACUAAAUCAAAAACCAAUGUAACAAUGCAUUUUUUUGCAAUUUUCUCAUAUUUUCUGUUUUUGUUUUUGUUUCUUUUUUGAGAUUUUGGAAAUUUGAAAUCUAAAAGAGAGUUUGAACUAUUAGAAAUCAGAUCUAGGUUGAAAUUUGAAUUCUGCUUAGACUUGUAGAGAGGGCCCUUUUGGGGGAAAUUUUUGAGCUUGCAAACUUUUGGGAAUUUUCA
rnacentral:lncRNA from 1 species